GUGGUGUUGAAGGGAGCUGGAGUCAGCUGUGGGUGAGUCAGUGGAUCCUACGGAACAUUAUUAAUUCACCUGCAGCACAGAGGAGGAAGGAAACAGGGGAAGAAUCGCUGAUUCAAUUACAACCAAUUCCCCACACACACAAGAAAUCGCAAAAAGCGUAAACUCCUCUGUUCUGAAGAUGUCCUGAAGUGAUUGCAAAGUGCUAACAGUGGAGGCUCCUUCCAUA